GUAAGCCGGCAUCGGGAUCGAUCGUCUAAUGUGUAAAGGUAUCAUACCGGUAAUUGAUUUUUCCCCCUGCGCGAUUCUUCUCACUUCCUUUUCUUCUUUUCUCUUAAUUUUUGUACCCCUGAUUAGGAAAUUUUGUGUAAUUUUCGGGAAUAAUCAGUUGUAUACAAAGGAAGUAUUUGAUGUUGGUAGUUGAGGCUACUUCCUGAGGUGCACUCAGGCUGUUUACACACAUGUGACACAUACUGGUUGCAUCACUCUAUUUAUGUGGAGGUUCACGUUCGAAUCAUGGCCGAAAGAAAAUAAUUCCUGGAACUUUGCAUGUUUUAUGGGACUUUCCUUAUGAGGGGAAAUGCAGAAGGGGCUCAUGGUCUUAUGGUCAGGAGUUUGCGAUGUCCACAACAUUUUUCCGCACCAUACUUCCAUCGGCAAGAUUUGAAAAAUGAAAACAUACUGUAGGCGCACUUGAUUUGUUUACACUACUGUAUACCCGGUGGUGCGUGAGAGGUAUAGUCAACAUGGACACUAUAAACUGCAACAACAGCAACUGAGGAUCCUAAUAGAGAGAAUCUCUUGUUUUAAGCUGUUUUACCUCACAUGAACCGAAGGCUCAAGUGAGCUUUUCUGUUGGCAUUGUUGUCGUCGCUGUCGUCAUCGUAAGCUUUUCACAUUUUCAUCUAAUUCUUCACCAGAACCACUGGGCCAUUUUCAACCAUAGAGUGCAAACUUGACACAAAGCAUCCUUGGGUGAAGGGAAUUCAAGUUUAUUCAAAUGAAGGGCCAUGCCCCCUUCAAAGGGAGAGAUAAUCACAAAAAUGCAAAAAUAGGGUGGGCCGGGUUAUUUCAAAAUCUUCUUCU